AGGACUACCUGCCCAGUGGUGGCCCCACCCACAAUGGGCGGGGCCCUCACCCAUCGAUCACUACUUAAGAAAAUACACUGCAGACUUGCCUACAGAAGAACCUUGUAGGGGCAUUUAUUCAAUUGAGGUUCCCUCUUUCCAGAUCAUUCUGGCUCAUGUCAAAUUGACAUGAAACUAACUAUCGCCAGUAGCCAGUGUUCUUAGCUACCGAGCCCAUCUCUCUCACUGUAUCAUGCACUUUGAAGGCCAGGGCCAGUGACCUUUGCCCUCUGCACUCAUUUUCUGUCCCUUUCCUCCCUUUUAAAAUAAUAAGGAAGCCAUGUGUUCCACCAAAAGAACGAUAUGAGAUAUCCAUAGUUUCAGUCUCAAAUGAGUGGUUUAUUAAGUAUGUAGCAAGCUAAUGUCAUAGCAUACUAAGUAGCGGAUAGACCGUACUAUGUCAUCAAGUCGAGUGCUUACAACAUCAAACAGACGGAGGAGUAACCUGAUUGAGAGCAGAGAAAAGUAAAAUCAAAUUGGCAUCUAUGACAUCCAGCAGGAAUGGCUGGGGAAGCCAGGUGACACCCUCAUACAGGAGCUCCUGGUAGCUUCCAGACAGGGUGUCCUCACCAUAGAUUAUCUUCCCGCUUCUGGUUCCUACUGAAGAAGUUGUUUGACCAUAGGGUAAACAAUCUGUUGGGAACAUUUUGUUUUGUUUUGUUUUGUUUCCUCUCACUGUUCUCAAGGGCAUAAUGUUGUUAAUACAUUUAGCUCUUUGCCGUUCCUUUCUCCCUGCUAUAAGGCUAGAGGGCCAGCCUGCCCCAGGACAGGGGUGGGGUUGGGGUUCUGGAAGACGCAUGAAAUAAACACGCUGGAGUCUGGGAUAAGAGAGCCCUUCUCGCUCCCGGAGUUGACUCUCAGUGAGCUUCAACAGCACAUGACAGUUUAGCAACAUAAUUUAUGUUACACCACCAGCUCUUGGGGCAUCACUAAUAAAAGGUGUUAGGACGAAAACAACUUGCUAUGAGAUCAUGCAAGACCUCGGCAUUACCCUUUGUUUUCUAGAAUAGAUUCUGUUUCAUUUGUCCCCAGCGUCUCAAACUGUGGCUUGCAGACCCUGUAGGAAUUGUACUGGUCAUUGGCACAAGGAAAAUGUUUCUCAAUACACAACGAUCAACACUGUAUUUGAAGGUAACUGCGUAAAAAGCAGGCUGUGGCUUCUGCCUGCCCCGCCCCUGUUUUAUCAGGUGACUUCGCUGCUGACCUUGGUCCUGAACACACACCAUGCACACUCCGCUCUGGGCAUGACUUCACACUACAUAGUAUCAAUACAAGCUAAGACACCUUGGCUCAGAUGCACUGUAUGCAUAGAAUGCAAAGUUUUUAUUGUACAAAGCUUUCUGUUCUUAGAGAAACAUGCUGGUUUAAUUACAGAAAACAAAGACUUCCAAUAUGUUCCUACCGUCAUCUCCCAGUAUGUAAAUAUCAAAUUAGUAUAUCAUUGGAUUACACUGUGUUAGAAUGUUUGAUUUUUAAAAUUGCUCUUUGAAUUGCCGACUUUCAUAUCAUGAAAACAGAGUUCCUCAAUGAAUUUUGGCUUAGGAUUAGGAUAAAGUUUCUCACAGUUUCUGAAAUGGCCCUAAACAAACUUCUGCCAUUUUGUACAGCACAAUUGUGUGAAACGCUGUUCUCAGCACUGAUGAGAGAAAUCAAAAUAUUGGUCAAUUCUACAGAACAUUGAAGAUGCCCACUACCUGCCAUACUAAAUAUCCAGUCAACAUUUAAUUCUUUACAUAAAAUAAAUAAUCAUAGUCACCUCGUUAGUAAACAAAUUUGAUGUAUUCUUUACUGAACUAUAUGCACACCAAAGAAUUUCUUUUAAAAUUUUUCCAGAAGGUAAAGGAAGGAGGAGAAAUGAUAUAAUUAUAAUUGCAGAAAAGAAUCCAUUUUAAAAUUUCCUCAUGAUUUGUCAUCAGUAAAUGUCUGACUUGGAUACCUAUGUAAAAUAUCUGAUAUCAAGUAAAACUUUCUCACUCAUAAAAUGGUCACAGAUGUGAAACGUCUAGGAAACUUGUCUGAAGGAUACCACAUGAGGGUCCUCUAUGGUCAUCUCAUAAAGGUCCACUAUGAGCUCUGUCUUCUUGGUAGGAUGGGGAGCUAGAGUAGGAGGCAAACCCCAAGCAUGGUUGGCUCUCUCACUUGGCAGACAUCAGUACCACACCCUCCUUUACAUCCUCACAAAGCUAUCUCCUCCCCAUCUCUGCACCCCUUGCCUUUUUGUCUCUGCCACAGUCCUCCUACUAAGAUGGAAAAAAAACGGGUCCUCCACAGGCUUUCAAAGUUUUGAUAAAGUACGAUGCCAGAGAGCGGCAGACUCUCUGGUAUCCAAACUCGUAUUUAAAUCACUGGGAAGGUUCCCCGUCUGUCAGGAAGCCACAUCUUCCUGGACAGAAUUACUCAUCAGAUCUUCAGGACCAGUUGAAACAUCUUCGCUGCCAGAUUUUUUUUUUUAACCCUAAUGCAAAAUCUGUAUGAGUCACUUUCCUUGUUAGGCAUUAAGGAAUGUAUUAUUCUGUUUGGUUGUGUGACCCAAGAAAGGGGAAGCUAGCUGUGUGUGGGGAGAUUUCUGAGGGCUUCACAGCAGAUGGAAAGAGUCCCUGUCACAUUGGGCUUGUCAGCACUCAUUCUUACUUGAGUGGUCAUCUUUCACAUGCUUGCAAACACAAUGGGCAUGGUGGCAGAGGUAGGGAGCCGGAAAGCUCUUCUCGCUUGCCAUCCUGUUGACAGCGUCCUGAUUUGUGAAGCUGUCCAGGCUCCCUGUUCCCUGUCACCAUUGCUGCCUCUGCCACUUCCCAUCAGGGAACUGGAAUUCCAUCUCCCUCCUUCCUCUCUUUCCCAUUCAGUAUUUUAGACUAGUCUCACAGUUCCACACAGGCAUUUUUGUGGUCACCAGCUAGCACACUGACUUUGUCUUCCCAAUCAUGGAAUGGGAUAUUAUUUUCUAUGUCUGUUUUCUUUUAGCAGUUCAAGAUACUUACAUUUUAUUAAUAAUAAUGAACCAUUAUAAUCCCAUUAACAAACGGCAUUGUUUUUCUACGGAAUACCAUAACAAAAUUAUGUUUAUGUCAAGCCGAGUAUUAUUCCUCAAAUUUCAUUCUUGACUCUGCCACCAGGAUAUUCACAGUAAAUUCACUGGUGAGUUAUAUAUUUUUUAAAUUAGCUCUAAUUUUAUUAUAUUUAAAUUUACAAUUCUAAGCAGCAGAAGAGACAAGUUUAAAGGAAAUGGGAGACUUGUAAACCUCAUUUUCAGCUCAACACAAAUCAAAUGAACCAAAAUUCUUCAAAGAAGUAGAUGUAAAUAUAUAAAGUUGUAUAUUCCCCUUUGAUUAUUGCUUUAAUUAUAGCCACUGGUGUCUGAUAUGUAGUGUUUAUUGUUUAUUAGACACUUUAUGGUUUAACUUUCUAAUUCCUUUUCCUAUGUAGCAAUGGGGCUUUUAGUCAUACAGGAAAGAUGGCUUUACUUUUAUUUUCUCUUUAGUGUGAAAUAGUUAUUUUUAAAGAAAAAUAAAAUAAAAUGAUUGUGCCCCU
rnacentral:lncRNA from 1 species